AUUGAACGCUGGCGGCAGGCCUAACACAUGCAAGUCGAACGGUAGCACAGAGAGCUUGCUCUCGGGUGACGAGUGGCGGACGGGUGAGUAAUGUCUGGGAAACUGCCCGAUGGAGGGGGAUAACUACUGGAAACGGUAGCUAAUACCGCAUAACGUCGCAAGACCAAAGUGGGGGACCUUCGGGCCUCACACCCUCGGAUGUGCCCAGAUGGGAUUAGCUAGUAGGUGGGGUAAUGGCUCACCUAGGCGACGAUCCCUAGCUGGUCUGAGAGGAUGACCAGCCACACUGGAACUGAGACACGGUCCAGACUCCUACGGGAGGCAGCAGUGGGGAAUAUUGCACAAUGGGCGCAAGCCCGAUGCAGCCAUGCCGCGUGUAUGAAGAAGGCCUUCGGGUUGUAAAGUACUUUCAGCGGGGAGGAAGGCGGUGAAGUUAAUAGCUUCACCGAUUGACGUUACCCGCAGAAGAAGCACCGGCUAACUCCGUGCCAGCCGCCGCCGUAA
rnacentral:rRNA from 1 species